AUUGGCAUUUUAAUUAUUUUACAUUUACGUUGGUAAAGUUAAAUAGGUCUUUGUGUAAAUUAUUUCUUUAAAACUAUGGAUAGAUUUACGAAUGGAGAGUUGGGCGAUAUGCAUUUUGUGAAUGGUUUGUGUAAUGACAGCUCGUUAGCUGCUGCUCGUGAGUAUCGCCGAAGUUUCCCCUCAGACGAAUUCCAGAUCGUCAAGUUUUUGUUAACAUCCACCGUAACUUAUGUGAAAAAGGAAGUUUUCGAAGAGCUCGAGGACAAGGCAGACCACAAGCAAAUCAUAACUUGGAAAACGUCUUAAACUAUUUCGAAGAAAAUCCUGGAACAAGCAUCAGAACAGUGUAACAGGCCAUACAUAUCCCCCACUCAAUAAUAGGAAGAAUGGUGAGAAUCGAAGGCUUACAUCCCUAUCAUUACCAGAGAGUUCAAGAGUUGGUACCAGACGAUUUUGCGCUGAGGGUCCAAUUUUGUAAUUGGAUAAUUAACAACCCAAACUUAGUUCCUUUUAUUUUAUGGACUGACGAAGCUACCUUCCCUAGAAAUGGUUCGUUUAAUAUGCAUGUUUGGGCAGAUGAUAAUCCAAGAGCAAUACGGCGUACUAACUUUCAGAGCAGGUUUUUAAUAAAUUUUUGGGCGGGCUUAAUCGGGAACCAACUUAUUAGCCCGAUAGAGUUACCCAACCGUCUAAAUAAAAUUAAAACUAUUUAAAGAUGCUGGAACAUAAUCUUGGGCAGCUUUUGGAAGACGUUCCUCUUAACAUACGAUAGAAUUUAAGAUUUCAGCACGACGCGACGAAGCGCGAGGUAUAUGCUGUAGAAAUUAAUACCCGUGGAGAAUUAAUUCAAAGGAUUAAUUGGGCGGUUAGUGAGAUAAGGGGAAAUCCAUUUUCUAUUUUAAGAGCUACUCGCGCAAUAAGGCGUAGGGCAAGAUUAUGUUUCCAACAAAAUGGCAACCACUUCGAACAAUUCCUAUAGUAUGUUUUCUUUUGUUUGUUUGCUUGUUUUGUUUGGUGCUUUCAGUUUUUUUUUCUUAGCUAAUAACUUAAUUGUUUAAAUUUUUAUCAAAUAUUUACACAUUAUUUACAGUUUUGAAAUAAAAUUUUAAACAAAGAAAACACUUUUUGAUCUUAAAAUUAAGUAUUUCUAAUAGUGUUAUGUCAUGUUUAUAACAUACCUGGUGAUUUGUAACAUACCUUUUAAUUUUAUUGAACAUGAUCAAAAAUACUUUAUGAUUGUAGGUUGCAAAACAUUAAUGUCUGAUUAUUUCAAAAAUGGGCGCUCCUAUCGAAAUAAGACAAGAGCACCUUUUUUAAUUAAAAAUAUUGAUUCUUUUCGAUUUUAUUACCAAAAUUAUUAGAACCUAGACAAAAAGUUUUGAAAUUUUUAACCUUUAA